rnacentral:rRNA from 1 species
UAUGAUCUGAUCUCAAAUCAGGUAGGACUACCCGCUGAACUU